rnacentral:ncRNA from 1 species
AUAGAAUCAAUGAACGGGAGCAAGUACUGUCAUUUCACCCUUUUCAGCGAGCCGGAGGCAGUGGGAGUCCGGCAAGAGGCCGUGACGGGAAUGGGCCCGGGAGAUGCGGCCUGAAUGCACAGUAGGUGCCGCCGGAACUUCCGCCGUUAGCAGGGAGACGUGCACUGAGGUAUUGGUGUAUGCCAGAGCCGGGCUGUUUGCCAACCAGGGUGGUACCGCGGAAAUAUCUUUCCUUUCGUCCCUAUU